rnacentral:misc_RNA from 1 species
GAAGUCGUUACUCCAACCCUUGUGGAGGAGGACGCCGAAGGUGGGGCUAAUGACUGGGGUGAAGUCGUAACAAGGUAGCCGUACCGGAAGGUGCGGCUGGAUCACCUCCUAACAGGGAGACAACAAAAUGUAAAUAUUAAUUUUGUCACCUUAGGUCGAUCGGUAUCUCAGAUUCUUAUUUUUUAAGAAUUUCAGUUUCUAAGUUUUUUCUAGGUCACACCCAUCAUUUUUUCCUGGGCCAUUAGCUCAGGUGGUUAGAGCGCACCCCUGAUAAGGGUGAGGUCCCUGGUUCAAGUCCAGGAUGGCCCAUAUCUCUAUGUUGGGGGUAUAGCUCAGUUGGUAGAGCGCCUGCUUUGCAAGCAGGAUGUCAGCGGUUCGAGUCCGCUUACCUCCACUGAAUACCACCUCUUACAUAUAGUUGAAGUGGGAAAUUGUUUUGAGUCGUGUCCUAAUUUGCUCUGAGCGAAUCUAGCUUCCUAUUUUAUCCAAGAAAUAAGAUGCUGGACUCAUUGAAUUUUUUUCCAUUGUUUUCAGAGAACCUUGACAACUGCAUAGAUUAUUUUUGAAGACAAUAAGCAUCUUUAAUGAUGCAGAUUUAUUAUUUGUGCGAAUGCAUUAAAUAACAAUUCUAUUAAGCUGAUGCUUCAAUUAUUGAAGUUAUUGGUCAAGCUACAAAGGGCUCACGGAGGAUACCUAGGCACACAGAGGCGAUGAA